ensembl:snRNA U6 U6 spliceosomal RNA
GUGCUCACUUUGACAGCACAUAUUCAAAAAUUGGAACGAUGCAGAGAUUAGCAUGGCCCCUGGGCAAGGAUGAUGGCAAAUUCAUGAAGUAUUCCAUAAUUAA